UCCCUGGUGGCUCAGAGGUUAAAGCGUCUGCCUGAAAUGCAGGAGACCUUGGUUCGAUCCCCGGGUCAGGAA
rnacentral:tRNA from 1 species